rnacentral:rRNA from 1 species
GCAAGUCUGGUGCCAGCAGCCGCGGUAAUUCCAGCUCCAAUAGCGUAUAUUAAAGUUGUUGUGGUUAAAAAGCUCGUAGUUGAACCUUGGGCCUGGCUGGCCGGUCCGCCUCACCGCGUGUACUGGUCCGGCCGGGCCUUUCCCUCUGUGGAACCCCAUGCCCUUCACUGGGUGUGGCGGGGAAACAGGACUUUUACUGUGAAAAAAUUAGAGUGCUCCAGGCAGGCCUAUGCUCGAAUACAUUAGCAUGGAAUAAUAGAAUAGGACGUGUGGUUCUAUUUUGUUGGUUUCUAGGACCGCCGUAAUGAUUAAUAGGGACAGUCGGGGGCAUCAGUAUUCAAUUGUCAGAGGUGAAAUUCUUGGAUUUAUUGAAGACUAACUACUGCGAAAGCAUUUGCCAAGGAUGUUUUCAUUAAUCAGGAACGAAAGUUAGGGGAUCGAAGACGAUCAGAUACCGUCGUAGUCUUAACCAUAAACUAUGCCGACUAGGGAUCGGACGAUGUUAUAUUUUGACUCGUUCGGCACCUUACGAGAAAUCAAAGUGCUUGGGCUCCAGGGGGAGUAUGGUCGCAAGGCUGAAACUUAAAGGAAUUGACGGAAG